UACACCUGAUAUAAGCAAGA
rnacentral:rRNA from 1 species